rnacentral:rRNA from 1 species
UACGUAGGGUGCAAGCGUUGUCCGGAAUUAUUGGGCGUAAAGAGCUCGUAGGCGGUCUGUCGCGUCGGCUGUGAAAACUCGGGGCUCAACUCCGAGCUUGCAGUCGAUACGGGCAGGCUAGAGUGCGGCAGGGGAGACUGGAAUUCCUGGUGUAGCGGUGAAAUGCGCAGAUAUCAGGAGGAACACCGGUGGCGAAGGCGCACAUCUGGCCCGAUACUGACGCUGAGGCGCGAAAGCUAGGGGAGCAAACGGG